rnacentral:sRNA from 1 species
UCGCAUUAGGGAUUGCAACGGCAUCCUUUUUAAAGUUUUGAAAGCAAUGCACUUAGUAAUUUCUAAAUUUUAAUAAAUUACCACAACCCUCGUUUUAUUGCAAUAUUCCUUUAAAAAGAUAUAGUGGAAAGCCCGACCUUUA